GUGUUGCAACAUUCACGUAUAUAUAUGACGUACAACCCCAUUCCAUAGGCAGCAAAAACAUGUUGAAGAAAGUUCUCUUCGUACUGGCGGCGAUGGUAACUUUCCUGAUGAAUAUUUCGACUCCACCAGAUUUAAGUGAAGUAUUCCCAGACAUUGGACCCCCAAAAUCGUAGAGGCACUUUUCUUCGUACUGGCGGCGAUGGUAACUUUCCUAAUGAAUAUUACGACUGCAAAGCCACCAGAUUUAGGUGGAGUUUUCCCACACAUUGGACCCCGCAAAAUGUAA